GACGAACGCUGGCGGCGUGCCUAAUACAUGCAAGUCGAACGCUUCUUCUUUCACCGGAGCUUGCUCCACCGAAAGAAAAAGAGUGGCGAACGGGUGAGUAACACGUGGGUAACCUGCCCAUCAGAAGGGGAUAACACUUGGAAACAGGUGCUAAUACCGUAUAACACUAUUUUCCGCAUGGAAGAAAGUUGAAAGGCGCGUUUGCGUCACUGAUUGAUGGACCCGCGGUGCAUUAGCUAGUUGGUGAGGUAACGGCUCACCAAGGCAACGAUGCAUAGCCGACCUGAGAGGGUGAUCGGCCACACUGGGACUGAGACACGGCCCAGACUCCUACGGGAGGCAGCAGUAGGGAAUCUUCGGCAAUGGACGAAAGUCUGACCGAGCAACGCCGCGUGAGUGAAGAAGGUUUUCGGAUCGUAAAACUCUGUUGUUAGAGAAGAACAAGGAUGAGAGUAAAACGUUCAUCCCUUGACGGUAUCUAACCAGAAAGCCACGGCUAACUACGUGCCAGCCGCCGCCGUAA
rnacentral:rRNA from 1 species